CACCUCGACGUCAUCAGUAACAGUCAAGAAUGGGCGCGGUUUGAACACAAAUCAGCGUGUCAUGCGCAGAAACGUAAGAAAGUGUGCAGUUUUGGCGAGAUUUUAGCGGGUUUUUAAAAUUUAUCAGGAAGCUGAAUUUGGAUUGGAAUGACGAGGAAUUAUUUCACUCUGGCGUGCCUAAUCGUACAUGACUUUGAGGAGACGACGUGCGCUACCAUCCCAGCACGUCGUAUUUGAAUAUGGACAAAAAAACAGAUCAGACAUUAGCAACUGCUAUUGAUCCUCAAAUAGGGGCCGAGCUGUCUGUUUUGAACGCCGCUGCCCGGUCGAUCCCAUCUGACCUACUGUUCACAAGAGAGCAUAAAUUAGAAGGAAAUCUCAGGGUAUCCUCGGUCCUCUCACACAGACAGCAGGGACGGAGAACGGCAGAGAGCCUUUGGCCAGAGGGUGGCAGCAGUGAGUAGCCCUCGCCACAGAGAAGCAGCACGAGUGUUAUCCCUGUCUUCACCUCAGCAGCCACGUCCUCUUGGGUCCUACACAAGCCCCCUGCACAAUUACAGGACAGCCCUAAUUCCUUAUCAUAAAAAUCCAAUGGUGUAAUGUUGGAGGAAUUGCUGUGUUGAGGCUAAACAAUAGGUCUCACACACUACGCUUUGUGUCAUUAAACUCAGCAUGCAAGCUUUGAAGUGUCCCUUAAUUCGGCCAUGCUGCGCCUCUUCCACAUGAAGAUAUUGCAACAAUAUGAAGAAAACCAAAUGAGAGAGUCAGAGAGACAAAUAGAGAUGUAGCCAUCACCUUCACUGUGAACCGCUUUUAUUUUCAGUGCUGUUAGGUGUACUACAGAGAUUACUUAGACCCAUUACCACAGUUAUGGUUAGGCGGAGCACCAGAGCAAUAGAGAAACAGUGUUCUCCUGGUACUUCAUAGGCAAGUCAGACGUCUGGCUUCGAACCUAUGCAGUAUUCCCACAAGGGCUCUAGUGUUCACAUUUACCACAAAUGCAAUACACACUUGAAAAGUUUGCAUCACCAGACAGCCGCUGCUGAGGACGUACGCUUAAUUUCAAUCACAUCAUUUGAGUGGGAGGGAAGAAAUCAGUUAGUGGAGAGGAAACAUUAUUUGAGAUAAGAUCAUUUGAGAGGAUUUUUUUUGCUACAUGCUUUGAUGUUGAAGAGAAUUAAAGGGAUAGUUCACCCAAAAAUAUAUUUUUUAUACUAUUUUUAUUAUUAUUACUAUUAUUUUAUUCACCCACAUGUCCUUCGAAGCAUAUGAAUUAUUCACUGUUGGCCUUUAAAAAAAAAUCUUGAACAUUCUGCUAAAUAUCUU
ensembl:lncRNA